AUUGAACGCUGGCGGCAUGCUUCACACAUGCAAGUCGAACGGCAGCACGGGGGCAACCCUGGUGGCGAGUGGCGAACGGGUGAGUAACACAUCGGAACGUACCCAGUUGUGGGGGAUAACCUACCGAAAGGUAGGCUAAUACCGCAUGAGCUCGAAAGAGGAAAGCGGGGGACCGCAAGGCCUCGCGCGACUGGAGCGGCCGAUGUCCGAUUAGCUAGUUGGUGGGGUAAAGGCUUACCAAGGCGACGAUCGGUAGCUGGUCUGAGAGGAUGAUCAGCCACACUGGGACUGAGACACGGCCCAGACUCCUACGGGAGGCAGCAGAGGGGAAUUUUGGACAAUGGGGGCAACCCUGAUCCAGCCAUGCCGCGUGAGUGAAGAAGGCCUUCGGGUUGUAAAGCUCUUUCGGUGGGAACGAAACGGGCGCGGUGAAUAUCCGCGUUCAAUGACGGUACUCACAGAAGAAGCACCGGCUAACUACGUGCCAGCAGCCGCGGUAA
rnacentral:rRNA from 1 species